AACGAACGCUGGCGGCAGGCUUAACACAUGCAAGUCGAGCGCCCCGCAAGGGGAGCGGCAGACGGGUGAGUAACGCGUGGGAAUCUACUCAUCUCUACGGAAUAACGCAUGGAAACGUGUGCUAAUACCGUAUACGUCCCUCGGGAGAAAGAUUUAUCGGAGAUGGAUGAGCCCGCGUUGGCUUAGCUAGUUGGUGGGGUAAAGGCCUACCAAGGCGACGAUCCAUAGCUGGUCUGAGUGGAUGAUCAGCCACACUGGGACUGAGACACGGCCCAGAAUCCGACGUGGGGUAGCAUUGGGGAGUAGUGGACAAUGGGCGGAAGCCUGAUCCAGCCAUGCCGCGUGAGGGAUGAAGGCCCUAGGGUUGUAAAGCUCUUUCACCGGUGAAGAUAAUGGCGGUAACCGGAGAAGAAGCCCCGGCUAACUUCGUGCCAGCCGCCGCAGUAACAC
rnacentral:rRNA from 1 species